CUAACAUGCUGCCCCUUCUCAUCCAAGAAGCAUCUGCGAAAACAAGCAUGUUGAUGUCAACCUCCUGUACAGCAAUUGUGUUGAAAACAUUUGGUUUCAUUGCACAAGUUGUAUUGUUGUCUUGAGCAGCAAGAUUCAACAGCAGUUUACACAGGCACAAGAAUUGCUGGCCUCCAGCUACAGUACCAGCUGUGGUAAUUCAGUGACUGGCUAGUAAUGGAGCAGCCUCUCCUCCCAUAGAAACAAGAUGUUGUCAGGUGGUGAGAGAGAAGCAGUGAUUUGUCCAAGGUCACAUAAGAAAUCGGUGCCAGAGUUAGGAUUAGAAAUCAGGAAUUCCUGGUUUUGAGAAGGUUGAGAAAAUGGCUCCUGUAUACCCGCAUCAUUUAAGGACAAUCAAGGGCUUCAUGGAACUCCCACAGAUUUCAGUGGAGAGAUACCCACAGAGUUAAAUGGAACGUUGAUUGGAUCCAAAAGCAUCACUUUCCUCUUUCUAAUAUACUUGAGAGAAAAGAGAAAGCAAAUGAACUAAAGGAAAACAACCUAAAAAUGGAUUUCAGGGGUCUCCACUCGAUUCAAGGAACAGUAAGGAGCAAAGGAAAUUCUUCUACACAGAUUUUUAGGCAGACAAACCCUGACAAAUCAUAUUUCCUCCGGACACACCCACCCCAGCUUCUGUGCUAUGGGAACCAUAUGGAAUUCGUUUUUUAAAACCAUUCUUAUAUAAGCCAAAUCGUUUCCUUCCCCGCCCCCCUUCUGUUCAUGUUGUUUACACGUAAACAAUUUACUCUCAGUUGUAAAGGAAAUGUCUUCAAAUGCAAACAGAUGCAGCGGUAUCUGCAGACAUCCUGGAACAACAGCGUUGAGAGAAAUGUGAACUGCCUGAGUCAGCUCUGAAGCUAAUGAUGAUGUAUUGUCAAUACAACUAUUUCACUCAUCAAGGCAUGAAAGAAAGAGAUCAACAUAUUAGGAAGAUCUACGUUAUCUUCUGUAAAUGGCUUCUCAUUUGGUGAACGGAGGGUAGGCUGCAACUCUUUUCACCGCCCCCAUCUGAUCCCUGAAUGUGACUUGCUCAUGGAUCUGAUCCUUUCAUUCUUGUGACCCAUCUCCCACCAUCUAAGCUUUUCUAUUUUCUUCUCUUGAAAAUAUAUUUCAGAGUCCAGAUCA